GAAGAUAGGUUAUCCGUGUUGCCUUCGCUUUAUUCAUGACGAAUCAUACACGGUUGACCUAUUUUU
ensembl:miRNA Mir154 microRNA 154